AGCAGCCGCGGUAAUUCCAGCUCCAAUAGCGUAUAUUAAAGUUGUUGCAGUUAAAAAGCUCGUAGUUGAAUUUUGGAUUCUGCCAGUUGGUCCAUCUUUUGAUGAGUACUGAUUGUGUGGGGUCUAUCCGCCUGGUGAUACGUAAUGUACUUUAUUGUAUGUUGCGGGUAGUCAGGACCUUUACCUUGAAAAAAUUAGAGUGUUUAAAGCAGGCUUAUGCCGGAAUACAUUAGCAUGGAAUAAUAGAAUAGGACGAUGUUGUUUUAUUUUGUUGGUUUCUAGGACAACCGUAAUGAUUAAUAGGGAUAGUUGGGGGCAUUAGUAUUCAAUUGUCAGAGGUGAAAUUCUUGGAUUUAUUGAAGACUAACUACUGCGAAAGCAUUUGCCAAGGAUGUUUUCAUUAAUCAAGAACGAAAGUUAGGGGAUCGAAGACGAUCAGAUACCGUCGUAGUCUUAACCAUAAACUAUGCCGACUAGGGAUCGGGCGAUGUUGUUUCCAUGACUCGCUCGGCACCUUAUG
rnacentral:rRNA from 1 species